GCCUGCAUAGAUCAACACUAGAUCAUCUCUGCACAAUAUGCUCUCAUCUAGUCUGAUAUUGAGAAACGGAGGUUCGAAUCCUCCUGCGGGCA